AUGGCGCAGGGUACACGAACAGCUCCCGCACCGUCCCCUGAUCCCCUGAAGACUCGGAUCUCCGCUACUCCUGCCUGCAACCCUUGCCUUGGUUGGCUCCACGCGUUCCUCCGCCGCCCCGCCCCUUUCCGCUCCUUAUUGGCUUCCUCAGGACACGCGCGCAAAGGGGCGUGGAAGCGGCCGCGGCUGACCGGCCCAAGGCGCAGGGCCGCACGGCGGGGGCGGGGCCGAGCCGCAUGGGGGGAGCAGAGCGUAAGGGUCAGGCAGGUUGGGCGCAGGGCGGAGGGGCGGGGCCGUCGGGGGCGGGGUGUGGCCGGGCCGUCGAGGGCGGGGCCGGGCCGUCGGGGGCGGGGCGCGCCGCCGGAGCCGGGAAGCGCGCGGGGUGGCGGCGGGCUUGAGGUCGUAUGGACACCCUGGCGUUGGGCCGCUGGCGACGGCGGAGGGCGGAGGAGCUGCAGAAUCUGGGGGACGUGAAGCGAACAUGCAUGAGAUUAGAAGCAGCUGCCCCCGAUCCUGGUUGCCCCGAGGUAAACACGUUUGCCCUGGAAUCCUGGAUCCCUGAGGAGCUGGAGCCUCGACCUGGAGGGCCCCCCACUGCCCUUGGUCCCGAGUGUGUCCGUGGGAAGCAAAGCACAGGGGUAUGUUCAUCCACUCACCAUGUCUUAGCUGAACCCAGUUCAAUAUUUUAAUAAAAAGUGUAAAUAAUCACUGUUCUGAUACAACUUUGGGUGUGAUUUGUUAAAUAGAUCCCUCAGGACAGUGGAAGGAGCCCUGCCCAGCCUUGCCCAAGAUGUGCUGCAGGGGAGUCCGUGAGUGCACUCACCUUCUUGCUGUGACAUAGCAGAUAGGCUGGUUCCUAAAUAUUAGAGCCAUAAAACAAAGUUAAGAAGAACUGCAGUCAGCUUCUAAGGAAUGAGGAGCAUAUAUUAAAAAGUGCAGAUUGAUUUAUGCCCUCCUUAACAUUCUACUAGGGGCAAACUGUAGAUACAUUUAAAACUCUUUCUAAAAAGCAGGGUUUAGGGAAGGGAAUGGGCUGCUUAGUUUGGUUAAAACAGCAUCAUCUUGCAAAACAACCUAACUUUCUUACUUAAUUAUUCAUGUGAGAAUGAACAGGUUUUUUUUUUCCUUUUCCCUGUUUAAGCUUUUCCCCCGUAUUUCCAUAAACUUCACAUAAACCACUGAUUUCAGUAGAAGAAAUGCAGUAUUCACAUC
rnacentral:lncRNA from 1 species